GAAUCCAGCAAAAUGAAAUCGUACUUCACGUGUUUUCUGUCGUUUUGACUUUUAAAUGAGCUUUCUGCCACGGGAGCCCCAUUUACGGAUAUAGAUUCGGGUCAGUCAACGGAAAAUCAGUGCAACGGACAUUGUUUUUCUGUUCUGAAGCCCGUUCUCUACCGCAAUGGGACUCUUGAGGAAUUAGCAACAAAGAACGAAGAUCUUCAGAAUUUAAAAAACCAAAUAGAGAGCAAGAAAGAACCAAUAGUUGUGCAAACUCGAGAAAUCAAUUAUCAACGCGAAGUGAUCAAGACAUUGAAAGGUCUGCAGGGUGAAAUAGAAAACAGAGUCUCUGUUUUCUAUUUCACCCUGCAGACUUUUCAAUGUCUUGAUUGAACAACUAAAAAAGAAUAAUGACGACAAAGCUAAAUCUCUGACCGAAACUUUAAAAGAUUUGGAAAGUAGGCUAGAAAUCAUGGGUUCCCAAAUCAAUAACACCAGUUUACAAAAAAAAAUUGAUGAAAUACGCACUUCAGGAAACCUUUGUUUUCCGCUAAAAAUGCCGCGGUAGUGAAUUUAACAUUUAACAACAAAUUGUGUACGGAAUCCAUUAGCGAAAAAACCGAUGAUCUAUUGAAGUGCAAUCGACAGGACUUCUGCCCCAGUGAAGGUCCUAUAUAAAACUCUCCUCUUAUAUUGCCAAACCCUUCCUUAUAACUAUAUAACUAUAUAAGGAAGGGUUCGGCAAUAUAAGAGGAGAGUUUUUUAUCGGACUUGAGAAACAACAUGUUAUGACUCGGGAACGUCCUCGCGAACUUUACGUUAAACUUGGCAAGGUGGACGGAUCCACAGGCUACGCUCAUUAUGAUGACUUUAAGAUUGGAAGUGAACUGGUAUCGUAUGUGUUGUCGAUAGGGACAUAUAAUGGUACAGUCGGAGACUCUCUAGGUAUCCAUAGGAACCACAAGUUAACUACACUUGACAGAGAUAAUGAUGAACAUAAUGAAUUCUGUAUGAAAGUAUGAAAGUUGUGGUCGCAGCGUGCUAAAUGGAAAGUUUUAUAAGGAGGGUCGGACCAGAGGCAACAAACUUAAUGGAAUUUUUUGGGGAGCCUGGCAUGCUUAUUUGACCUACUCGCUUACCUUUGUGGAAAUGAUGAUUAGGCCCAAAACGUUGUGAGCAUUAAAAAUAUUGCAUUGCGGAAAAUAUCCAAUACCAUUUUAUUAUCUUUUGUAAAUUUGUUUGUGUAAGGACAAAAUUAAUAAAGUUUGGAUUCUAUUCAAUAAAAUAUUCUAAGAGUAAAAUGUAAGUAACCGUA